ACAUUCGGAUAGAUGAUGUAUAGAUAUACAUUCGGAUAGAUGAUGUAUCUGCAAACCAAUGUUACCGAUGCUGUAGAUGUAAUUAAGAGCUAAUGCUCUGAAGCUGCUUUGGCGGCAGCACCAUGCAUAUUGUGUUCAGUCCCCUUCUUUCUUCAUUGGUGAGACACUAGAUUCAAAAUAAGGAACGACCCAUAAGAGAAAAUCGAUCAAAACGUGCUCCAGUCUUUCUUCUGGAAGAUUCUGUUUAUGCUGCAUCCACAACAUAUUUAUGACGCGUUUACGGCGUCCGAGGACGACUGCUUGCCUUUCAGGCUAAGCGAGGGUCCCUUUCUGCUGUUUAUAAAACACCGUGAGCUUUCUGCAGAAAUGCGUAAUAUCGCCCACAGGCGGGAACAGGGGGGGCCGCUUCAGAUUUGGCAGGGGGACGAUGCAGAUGGUGCGGAUUAUAUAACCUCGAUCCGGCUCGCUGGAGAGCAGGGCGGGGGGGAGCUUACUGUACACUGCGUUUAUUUAUUUAUUUACCCGCAGACGCUCCGAUCGGGGUCGCUAACGGGAUGCUCGGGCCGCGCAGUGGGGGCCGUUUCCGGCCGUAAACAGUGCAUUAACCCGGCGAGGAGGGAAGCACCUUCGGUGCGUGACGGUCGAGGACUCUCUGCAGGGAUGUGGAAUUCUCUCCUCCUUCCCGCCCCCCCAGAUCAACGGUGUGACCUUUCCCCUCACCCUGGGGAGCCCCGCACAGCCCCUGCUGAAGCCUGGUGAUUGGAGCUACUGUGACUAUUUCUGGACUGAUAAAAAGGACCCCCAAGGGACCUCAUGCAUCACAGGCUUCGAGGUCCUACUCCAGAAGCAGCUGAAGGGGAAGCAGCUGCAGAAGGAGAUGGCGGAGUUCAUCCGGGAGAGAAUAAAGAUAGAAGAGGAUUAUGCCAAGAACCUGGCCAAGCUUUCUCAAGUCCCCCUGGCCGCAGGAGAAGAAGGGUAAAUGGAGAACGCCGCAACACCAGCCAUCCCAGUAACACCGCCCGCACUCGCUUGCAUUAUAUUAAUUCCCAUGAUGCACUGGAGAAGCUUAUGUAACAGCAUGCAUACUGCAGUAGCUCAGACUUAGAGAUGUGAAUCCAAGCUGGUUCCCCCCCCCC